ensembl:lncRNA
GCGUCAUGCUGGCAACAUUAAAGAUUCCGUAGGCACUAAACAGCAUUCGAACAGCACAAGGACAACUCAAGCAGGCAGCAGUUACUCAGUGGUCUGAGGAGGGAUAAACCACAAACCGGUGUCAGGGUGUUGGGCGCCCAAGGCUCAUCGACGAACGAGGACGAACGAAGACCAUCUUGUCUGGUCUGAACCGACAGAAGGUCUACUGGGGCACAAGUCAGAACAUUUGAAUGAUGGUUACGGGAGGAUUGUGCCACCCUGCUGCGUAUGGGGCUGCAUAGCCGCAGACAGGUCAGAGGGCCCAAAAUGACCCCUGUGACCACCGUUGAAAGUGCCUACAAGGGGACCGCGAGUGUCGGCACUGGACCUUGGAGCUGUGGAAGACGGUCACCUGGUCCGACGAGUCCCGUUUUCUACGUGUGCUGUUUACUUGGGGAAGUGAUGGCACCAGGGAUGCACUGUGGGAAGAGAACAAGCCGGUGAAGUGAGUGUGACUCGCUGGGCAAUGUUCUGUUUGAAAACCUCUGGUCCGGGCAUUCAUGUAAAGGUCAAUCUGACACGUUCCACCUACGUAAACGUUGUUGCACACCAGGUACCCCACUUCAUUGCCAUGGUAUUCCCUGAAGGCAGUGGCCUCUUUCAGCAGGAUAAUGCGCCCUGCCAUACUGCACACAUUGUUCGGGAAUGGUUUGAGGAACAUGAUGAAGAGUUCAGGGUGUUGCGCUGGCCAAAUUCCCCGGGUCACAAUCCGCUCGAGCAUCCGUGGCAUGUGCUGGACCAACAGGUCCGAUCCACAGCGGCCCCACCUCACAAGUUACAGGACUGGAAGGAUCCGCUGCUAAUGACUUGUUGCCAGAUACCACCUUCAGGGGUCUUGUAGAGUCCAUGCCUUAGCGGGUCAGUUAUCAUGGAUUAUUUUCCACAGGACUGGGCUACUAAUGUAUAGAUGUGUGAUGUGGACUAAGUCUAAAACCUGCUUUCAUAUAGUGUAUAGAUAAUAGGAACCAUGGCGAUGCUGGCCCUGUCCAAAGUUAAUCCAAUAUAGGGCGAACCACGCAGGAACUUGUCCCAUCCACUUUGCCUAGCAACAGACAAUGCAGACUAUAGCCCUCGCAUUUCACAGGAGCUCCAUGCGGCUGGAAAAGCUUCAUUAAGGGACUCAAAUGUUCUCAUUGACAUAAUGCCAGAUUAUUUGAUUUAUGAUGUGAACUACGCAAUGGGCGAAGAUGCCAUGGACUCAACCCUCGUAACAGAACAGGAGAUAGAAUACCCCAGAGGAAGCAACCGUGGUUUGUCAAACCUGUGCUCUGACGUUUUAAUGUAUGAUACAGCCCAAUGCCAGACUACAUUCAAUCUUAGGCAUGCUGAAGUGAUUCAGUAAAGAUCUGCAGAUUAUUCUCCAAAAAUAGUGAUCUGUGGAAAGCUGUCCCUCUGUCAGGUUGCGUCCUAUAGGUAUUUGAACAGCAUGGACUAGUACAGAGAGAUUUGUGGGAGGAUGUCCAUGUAAUUCUUUGUAGGUUAGCAGUAAAACCUUGAAAUGAAUGACUGGGGUGACUGAAAACGACAACAACCCAAAGUACACCGCAAAGACAAUGCUGGAUUGGCGUAGGUACAAGUCUGUAAAUGUCCUUGAGUGGCCCAGCCAGAGCUCAGUCAGGAACCCAAUCAAACACCUCCGGAGAGACCUGAAAAUGGCUGUGCGGCGACAUUCUCCAUCCAACCUGAUAGAGCUUGAGAGGCUCUGCUGAGAAGAAUUGGAGAAACCCAAAUGCAGGUAGGCCUCACAACCAAGAAGACUCAAAGCCGUAAUCACUGACAAAUGUGCAUCAACAAAGUAACGAGUAAAGGAGUUUGAGUACCUGAUUCGUGAUAUUUCUGUAAAAACUUGUGGUUGCUUUGUCAUUACGGGGUAUUGUAUAGAUUGAUAAGGCGAUUAAAAAACAAUUGAAUCUAUU